GCAAAUAGCUCAGUAUGGAGAGCAUGAGACUCUUAAUUUCAUCAUGGUGGGUUCGAGCCCCAUGUUGGGCU